GCCAGCAGCCGCGGUAAUUCCAGCUCCAAUAGCGUAUAUUAAAGUUGUUGCGGUUAAAAAGCUCGUAGUUGGAUUUCUGUCAGUGAGUGGUGCUCCGCCCCUUGUGGUGAGUAGUCAUCAUGCCGCUGGCAUCUUCUUGGGGAGCAUGUCUGCACUUCACUGUGUGGUAUGCAAGCCAGGACUUUUACUUUGAGGAAAUGAGAGUGUUUCAAGCAGGCGUGCGCCGUGAAUACGUUAGCAUGGAAUAAUAGCAUCGGACCUCGCUCCAAAGCUGUUGGUUUCUUGGGUCGAGGUAAAGGUGAAUAGGGAUUGUUGGGGGCAUUCGUAUUUAACUGUCAGAGGUGAAAUUCUUGGAUUUGUUGAAGACAGACUACUGCGAAAGCAUCUGCCAAAGAUGUUCUCAUUGAUCAAGAGCGAAAGUUAGGUGAUCGAAGACGAUCAGAUACCGUCCUAGUCUUAACCAUAAACUAUGCCGACUGGAGAUAGGGGGUCGUUAAAUUUAUGACGCCUUCUGCAUCUUGAGAGAAAUCAAAGUCUUUGGGUUCCGGGGGGAGUAUGGUCGCAAGGCUGAAACUUAAAGGAAUUGACGGAAGGGCACCACCAGGAGUGGAGCCUGCGGCUUAAUUUGACUCAACACGGGGAAACUUACCAGGUCCAGACAUAGUGAGGAUUGACAGACUGAUAGCUCUUUCGAGAUUCUAUGGGUGGUGGUGCAUGGGCCGUUCUUAGUUGGUGGAGUGAUUUGUCUGGUUAAUUCCGUUAACGAACGAGACCUUAACCUGCUAAAUAGGCUCCAGAAUCUUCGGUUCCAGGAGGCCUUCUUAGAGGGACGUCGCGUGUCUAACGCUAGGAAGUGUGAGGCAAUAACAGGUCUGUGA
rnacentral:rRNA from 1 species